GCUCAACCGAGGAAGUGCUUCGAAAACUGGUAAACUUGAGUGCAGAAGAGGAAAGUGGAACUCCAUGUGUAGCGGUGGAAUGCGUAGAUAUAUGGAAGAACACCAGUGGCGAAGGCGGCUUUCUGGUCUGUAACUGACGCUGAGAUUCGAAAGCAUGGGUAGCAAACAGGAUUAGAUACCCUGGUAGUCCAUGCCGUAAACGAUGAGUGCUAAGUGUUGGAGGGUUUCCGCCCUUCAGUGCUGCAGCUAACGCAUUAAGCACUCCGCCUGGGGAGUACGACCGCAAGGUUGAAACUCAAAGGAAUUGACGGGGGCCCGCACAAGCGGUGGAGCAUGUGGUUUAAUUCGAAGCAACGCGAAGAACCUUACCAGGUCUUGACAUACCAUGAAAAGCUUAGAGAUAAGUCUUUCCCUUCGGGGACAUGGAUACAGGUGGUGCAUGGUUGUCGUCAGCUCGUGUCGUGAGAUGUUGGGUUAAGUCCCGCAACGAGCGCAACCCUUAUUAUCAGAUGCCAGCAUUCAGUUGGGCACUCUGGUGAGACUGCCGGUGACAAACCGGAGGAAGGUGGGGACGACGUCAAAUCAUCAUGCCCCUUAUGACCUGGGCUACACACGUGCUACAAUGGUCGGUACAACG
rnacentral:rRNA from 1 species